UUUUUCAUCAUAAUUUUAUUGAAAAUGUACAUAAAUGGAAUCAAACUACAAUCACAUAUUUUAUCAUUAAUUUGUGGUGUGGACAGGUAAUUGACUAGGAGGGGUGAUUAUGGCAGAUGCUAGAAAAAUGUAUGGCAAUUUCUUACAACAAAAUGUAACUUUACACAGAGAGAAGAGUCACAUCCAAAGAUCAUAUUUCAUAAAACAGGUCUCCACUUCCAUACACAAAAUAUAUCCUUAUAAAUUAUACAAAUGCAUGAGUAUCUAUCUGUAUCUAGGAUUCAACUCCAUCUCAUUGUAAUAUUUGGCAAUAUGGGUGCCGGAAAUUGUGGAGAGGGGUAUAACUGCACAUAACAACUAGUAAUACACAAGAUUAAACUGGUCCAAACAAUAGAGCAUCAAAUGUGAAAGAGUGCAAAACUGUUAGGGGAGAAAACUACAAUGGGGAGCAAAAGGUCAAGAUCACAGAGGUGAUGAAAGAAAAAGACAUGCAAAAUACAGAAUAGACUGAUGGUAGUUCAAGCACAAUGCGUAAAAGGGCAUUAAAUGCGACCUACAUGGCAUUUCAGUACGGAAAAGGUGUUUUCACUAAAUAAGUGCUUGACAUGAACAUGUCUUUGGCUCUUCUGAUUUCCAAUGAAACAACCUAUGCAGUGAACAAAGAAUACUGUAUUUAUUUGGAUCGCAAUUGUCCUAUGGUUUUUAAAUCCGUAUUGACAAAAGUUUCUACUACUCACACGCAAGGUAAGACGUCGCACUAUCAAUCACCAAAUAAAUAUGGCGGGUUUAUCAGUGCUUUAUUGAGAUCUGGGUUGUGCUAUUUGUAUUCAUAGGGGCUCCCGAGUAGUGCAGCAGUCUAAGGCCCUGCAUCACAGUGCUAGAGGUGUCACUACAGAACCUGGUUCAAUUCCAGGCUGUAUCACAAUUGGCCGUGAUUGGGAGUCCCAUAGGGCGGCGCACAAUUGGCCCAGCGUCGUCCGGGUUAGGCUAUGGCCGGGGUAGGC
ensembl:lncRNA